rnacentral:rRNA from 1 species
AAGGGCGCACGGUGGAUGCCUUGGCACCAGGAACCGAUGAAGGACGUGGGAGGCCGCGAUAGGCCCCGGGGAGCUGUCAACCGAGCUGUGAUCCGGGGGUGUCCGAAUGGGGAAACCCGGCAGUCGUCAUGGGCUGUCACCUGCAUCUGAAUGUAU